AACGAACGCUGGCGGCAGGCCUAACACAUGCAAGUCGAGCGGACCCUUCGGGGUUAGCGGCGGACGGGUGAGUAACGCGUGGGAAUAUGCCCUUCUCUACGGAAUAGUCCUGGGAAACUGGGGGUAAUACCGUAUACGCCCUUUGGGGGAAAGAUUUCUCGGGGAAGGAUUAGCCCGCGUUGGAUUAGGUAGUUGGUGGGGUAAUGGCCUACCAAGCCGACGAUCCAUAGCUGGUUUGAGAGGAUGAUCAGCCACACUGGGACUGAGACACGGCCCAGACUCCUACGGGAGGCAGCAGUGGGGAAUCUUAGACAAUGGGGGCAACCCUGAUCUAGCCAUGCCGCGUGAGUGAUGAAGGCCUUAGGGUUGUAAAGCUCUUUCAGCUGGGAAGAUAAUGACGGUACCAGCAGAAGAAGCCCCGGCUAACUCCGUG
rnacentral:rRNA from 1 species